GGGGGUAUGGCUCAGUGGUAGAGCAUUCGACGGCUGAUCGACAGGUCUUCGGUUCGAACCCGGGUGUCCUCU